rnacentral:rRNA from 1 species
AGUGAACGCUGGCGGUAGGCCUAACACAUGCAAGUCGAACGGCAGCACAGUAAGAGCUUGCUCUUACGGGUGGCGAGUGGCGGACGGGUGAGGAAUACAUCGGAAUCUACUUUUUCGUGGGGGCUAACGUCGGGAAACUUACGCUAAUACCGCAUACGACCUCCGGGUGAAAGCAGGGGAUCUUCGGACCUUGCGCGAUUGAAUGAGCCGAUGUCGGACUAGUUAGUUGGCGGGGUAAAGGCCAACCAAGGCGAAGAUCCGUAGCUGGUCUGAGAGGAUGAUCAGCCACACUGGAACUGAGACACGGUCCAGACUCCUACGGGAGGCAGCAGUGGGGAAUAUUGGACAAUGGGCGCAAGCCUGAUCCAGCCAUACCGCGUGGGUGAAGAAGGCCUUCGGGUUGUAAAGCCCUUUUGUUGGGAAAGAAAAGCAGCAGGUUAAUACCCCGCUGUUCUGACGGUACCCAAAGAAUAAGCACCGGCUAACUUCGUG